GGAGAAGGAAAGAGUAGACAGUUAUCAAAGGCAGUUUAGUUCCCGUUCCUUUUCCUCAACCUCCUCCCCCUUUUGAAAUAAAUUGCAUUCAGUGAGUGCUGUCCUUUUAAAGAAACAGCUACUUCCUAACAACUGAAAUUUGCUGCUUGACUACAAAGUUAGCAGGAUGUGUAAAUGUAGAUAAGAAAGAAGGAAAAAGGAAACGGCAUUCUAGAGGAACUGAUGUUUAGAGGGAGGAAAAUGAAGUAUAUACCAUUAGGACUUUAUAAAAGAGCUUAAGAAAAUUGAAUGAACAAUAAAGUUGUCUGAUGAUGAUGAUGGUGACAAGACAUUUCUAGCAACACAUCUGUGAUCCUCUUAUGCCUCAGAUGGCAAGUAAUCCAAUAUAUGUGAAACAUGUGCAAUUCUUCUGUACAUAUUUUUACAACUAUUAUGCUGCACAAGAAAAAUCAUAUCAAAAAGGAAAAAAUGAGAAAGAAAACAAAAUGCAAGCAAACUACAACAAAAAAGUAAAAUCACCUGAAUCACCUUGCUGUUGAAAAGAGCCACAUCCAUCAGAAUUGAUCAUUGUAUAAUCUUGCUGCUGUUGUGUACAAUGUUCCCCAGAUUCUUCAUUCAGCAUCAGUUCAUGAGACUGAUGAUGAAUAAUAUUGCCCACAUCUUGACAGAGACAGGAUGGAUGGAUCAGAAUGAGAUGAAGGAAAAACUUGAGCGUCUGUGGCAGAAACGAACCGGCAUGAGAAGAUCCAGUCUUUCGAUAUAGUUUUGUUUUCGCUAUCUGGUGCUGCCCUCUGCUGAUUGUAAUAGAGGACAAAGUGAAAAGAUUUCACUCUGCCAUUUGAAUUCUACGGAGACGUUAAGGUGAUCUUGUUUGUCUUUCCUUCUUGAUAACGUCAGGACGGUGAUGUCUUGACUCACAGAUGACCUGGAUUUAAGUGUGACAAAAUCGUCAGUCUCGUUCUCCCCUCCAGAACCAUCAGUCCAGCGUCCCUGGCCCCUGAUGCAAUGGGCGCCUUUGGGUUUUUUCCUAAGACAAAGUUCCGGUAAAUACAAGGAACAGGGAAAUUGUGGUUUGCUGCCUUUUACCUGCAUUCAUUCUGGAGCUCAAAUUGCACAGCCCCCACCAAGCCCACCAAACCAACCACUAUUUUCUUCUCUUUGUCGAAGUUCCGAAUCCUUCCCACCUUUGCGCCCAGGUUAGAUGCUCCACUUCUUUUCCCUCUCAGAUCCACCAUUUGUGCUACUGAGCUUCUGCAUAAACUCAAUGACCUCAGGAAACCUUAUUUUUCUUAGCAGAAUGGUUUUCUGCCAGCAGCAGUGUGAGCGGACCCCUCAGAAAUCUGGAAUUGUGACCAGCCCAUGUUAGAAUUUGUCAACGUUUCCUUAGAUGGCCAUAAGCAUGGAGUUUUCUUCCUUUCUAAAAGUAAAACUGCAGAUUCUACAAGCUCACCCAGUGGUGCAAAUUUCUCCAGCACAGAAUGAUGUCGCCAAACAAGAG
rnacentral:lncRNA from 1 species